UAAAAUUUCAUACGAACUCGCUUCUUUUGUCGCUCUGGUUCUCUUCUUCGUACACACUCUCCCUCUUUUGUCGCUCACAUAUCGUAAAGCACGCCGCAGGCUAUACCGAGAACCUGCCAGCGUAAGUAAGACAGCCACUAUUCGCAGGUUUGCUAUAAUAAGUAAUUAUACAAAAUCAUUAAAAUAAAAAUUGAAUUUUCAUCAUUUACAGGAUCUUCUUCCUUUUGAUAGCGACGCGAGAAAAAAGACGAACAUACCCAAACUCAGGAAAUAUAAUGUGAUACACAAGAAGAAAGAGAUACCUUAUAAAACACAGCAGCUCAUAGUACCAAACGACUGUAUAAUAGACCAGUUCAAAUAUCCUGAUUACCAAUUCAGUAAAUGCAACCUUAUUAGAAACAUUAAAAAAAUAAAAAAAAAAAUCGCUAACCAAGUACUCCUGCAACCGAAGAAGAUGAGUUUCCGCCAUCACUAGUAUCUGCCUUCAAAUCGAACCACAAAUCUUUUUCACUAAAGUAAUCAUAGAGCAUAUCUCUUUGUAGCUCCAAAUGAAACCUUUUUAAAACUUAAUGU
rnacentral:lncRNA from 1 species